UUUCUAUUAACCAUUGGCUUUUGCCCAAUUUUCCCUCACUCUUUCUUCCUCUUUCUCGUCUCACUCUCUCUCUUUUUUCUCUUUCUCAUCUACCCCCUUUCUCUCUCUAUUUUCUUUUUCCUCUGCAGUCACAAGUUCUCUCUCAACAUUCAAAAUCCAAACCCCAAUGCCUCAGUCUUCUCGUCUCCCUUUCACCGUCGAAGGAUUUUGCUAUAAUGGUUUUGGACUUUUGUAUAGCACUUUGAAAAGAGGAAGCGGUGGCCACCUACAUACAGGGUCUUGCUGCUGAAUUUUAUAUUCACAACAUCCAUGAUCUUGUAUAUUUUGCAAAUGCAUUAGGAGCAUCAUGUUUUAGUAAUGAAUUGGAUAAAUACAAAGAAUUUUGUUGUCUGACAUGGGGAAGAAGAAAUGCAACAUCUUAAACAAGCAACCAACUCCAAGAUGUUUACCUUCAAUUAUUUUUCAAUUCUGGUUUGCAUUUCUGUCGCCGGAAUGCAGCUAUGGCAUUUGAAGACAUUUAUUAUUGACGAGAACUAACCAAAGAUAUUAACCCAUAAACAAAUAAAGGAUUAGAUUGAUAGAAGAGAAAGACUUGAGAUUGUCGAAGUCAAAAAGAGAGGCAAAUCUUGGGUGAUGGUGAAGAUGAUAUAUUAGUUAUGAAACAAUGUGUUUAUUCUUGGUGUCAAGAAUUAAAGGGUGAAUCUUGUCUAAUUAUUUUUCAACCUCUCUUUUGAAAACUCUUGGAGGGAGAAUCAAAAACAUAUUCUCCAAACAAUGUGUUUGUUUUGUAAUGAUUUUUCCAUUUUAUGGAAAAAAAAUUUAUGAACCUUUCUAUGGUUUAUUCUGCUUGAUCAAUAAAAAAUAAAUAUUAGAUAAAAAUGAACUGUCGUGUGGUUUAUUCUUACUAUCUUAUUACUCUGAAGUUUGGUGCUAUAAUUUCUGUCAUUGUUUUUUAACCAGCUACAAAUCAGUUUCUGCAAAGGACACCACUUUUACACGCUGUGAUUUAAACUUAUUUUGAAAUUGCCAAUAUGACACUAUGCUUAUAACAAUAACUACUAUGAAUCUAUGAUGUCAAAUAUAAUUACAAACUUUCUCAUA